rnacentral:rRNA from 1 species
AGACCCGAAACCCGGUGAUCUAGCCAUGGGCAGGUUGAAGGUUGGGUAACACUAACUGGAGGACCGAACCGACUAAUGUUGAAAAAUUAGCGGAUGACUUGUGGCUGGGGGUGAAAGGCCAAUCAAACCGGGAGAUAGCUGGUUCUCCCCGAAAGCUAUUUAGGUAGCGCCUCGUGAAUUCAUCUCCGGGGGUAGAGCACUGUUUCGGCAAGGGGGUCAUCCCGACUUACCAACCCGAUGCAAACUGCGAAUACCGGAGAAUGUUAUCACGGGAGACACACGGCGGGUGCUAACGUCCGUCGUGAAGAGGGAAACAACCCAGACCGCCAGCUAAGGUCCCAAAGUCAUGGUUAAGUGGGAAACGAUGUGGGAAGGCCCAGACAGCCAGGAUGUUGGCUUAGAAGCAGCCAUCAUUUAAAGAAAGCGUAAUAGCUCACUGGUCGAGUCGGCCUGCGCGGAAGAUGUAACGGGGCUAAACCAUGCACCGAAGCUGCGGCAGCGACACUGUGUGUUGUUGGGUAGGGGAGCGUUCUGUAAGCCUGUGAAGGUGUGCUGUGAGGCAUGCUGGAGGUAUCAGAAGUGCGAAUGCUGACAUAAGUAACGAUAAAGCGGGUGAAAAGCCCGCUCGCCGGAAGACCAAGGGUUCCUGUCCAACGUUAAUCGGGGCAGGGUGAGUCGACCCCUAAGGCGAGGCCGAAAGGCGUAGUCGAUGGGAAACAGGUUAAUAUUCCUGUACUUGGUGUUACUGCGAAGGGGGGACGGAGAAGGCUAUGUUGGCCGGGCGACGGUUGUCCCGGUUUAAGCGUGUAGGCUGGUUUUCCAGGCAAAUCCGGAAAAUCAAGGCUGAGGCGUGAUGACGAGGCACUACGGUGCUGAAGCAACAAAUGCCCUGCUUCCAGGAAAAGCCUCUAAGCAUCAGGUAACAUCAAAUCGUACCCCAAACCGACACAGGUGGUCAGGUAGAGAAUACCAAGGCGCUUGAGAGAACUCGGGUGAAGGAACUAGGCAAAAUGGUGCCGUAACUUCGGGAGAAGGCACGCUGAUAUGUAGGUGAAGUCCCUCGCGGAUGGAGCUGAAAUCAGUCGAAGAUACCAGCUGGCUGCAACUGUUUAUUAAAAACACAGCACUGUGCAAACACGAAAGUGGACGUAUACGGUGUGACGCCUGCCCGGUGCCGGAAGGUUAAUUGAUGGGGUCAGCGCAAGCGAAGCUCUUGAUCGAAGCCCCGGUAAACGGCGGCCGUAACUAUAACGGUCCUAAGGUAGCGAAAUUCCUUGUCGGGUAAGUUCCGACCUGCACGAAUGGCGUAAUGAUGGCCAGGCUGUCUCCACCCGAGACUCAGUGAAAUUGAACUCGCUGUGAAGAUGCAGUGUACCCGCGGCAAGACGGAAAGACCCCGUGAACCUUUACUAUAGCUUGACACUGAACAUUGAGCCUUGAUGUGUAGGAUAGGUGGGAGGCUUUGAAGUGUGGACGCCAGUCUGCAUGGAGCCGACCUUGAAAUACCACCCUUUAAUGUUUGAUGUUCUAACGUGGACCCGUGAUCCGGGUUGCGGACAGUGUCUGGUGGGUAGUUUGACUGGGGCGGUCUCCUCCUAAAGAGUAACGGAGGAGCACGAAGGUUGGCUAAUCCUGGUCGGACAUCAGGAGGUUAGUGCAAUGGCAUAAGCCAGCUUGACUGCGAGCGUGACGGCGCGAGCAGGUGCGAAAGCAGGUCAUAGUGAUCCGGUGGUUCUGAAUGGAAGGGCCAUCGCUCAACGGAUAAAAGGUACUCCGGGGAUAACAGGCUGAUACCGCCCAAGAGUUCAUAUCGACGGCGGUGUUUGGCACCUCGAUGUCGGCUCAUCACAUCCUGGGGCUGAAGUAGGUCCCAAGGGUAUGGCUGUUCGCCAUUUAAAGUGGUACGCGAGCUGGGUUUAGAACGUCGUGAGACAGUUCGGUCCCUAUCUGCCGUGGGCGCUGGAGAACU